rnacentral:lncRNA from 1 species
AGGAUAAUUUUAAGAAAAUAAAAGGAAGGAGAGAAUGAGAGAAAAAGAAUGAGAGAAUGAGAGAAUUGAUGAAAAAAGAAUGAAGGAGGUGCUCUAUUUAUAGAGCUCAUGGACCAGGCCCAUUAUUCAAAAAUCUAAAAUAUCUUCUAUUAAAAAAUAUUAUUUUUUAAUAAAAUAGAACGUUGGAAACAAACAUGAACGUUGCACUCCAAAAAUAAUGACGUUGGUAGCAUGCCUUGCGGGAAACGUUGGAAGCAAGAGGCUUG